UUCACCGCGGGAGUCGAGUUAUGCGGAGGUGGGAGCUGCUCAGUAGCUCACCUGAGACCCUUCGGGGAGCAAACCUCCCUGCCUCCCCGCUAAAAGGUUUUCCUAGGUCUUCCAUGUGCUCAUGGGUGGCUGGGUUUGGUGCACAGAGGCAUAGGGCCGGGCCCGCUGCUGUACCGAGCUAGUGGCAGGGACACCUGCUGCAGGCUUUGGGCUUUAAAUGUGCCAGGGGAGGUUUAGGUUGGAUAUCGGUAAAAGGUUCUUCACCCAGAGGGUGGUGGAGCACUGGAACAGGCUCCCCAGGGAAGCAGUCAUGUCACCAAGCCUGACAAUGUUCAAGACAGGUUUGGACAGUGCCCUCAGACCCAUGGCGUGAAUGUUGAGGUGUCCUAUGCAGGGACAGGAGCUGGACUCGAUGAUGUUUGUGGGUCACUACCAACUCAGGACAUUCUGUGAUUCUGUGUGAUUUUGUGAUUGUGUAAUGCAAUCAAAGCUAUUGCUAUCAUAAGAUGUCUCAUUUUGAAAUUGCUGCUGUUACAUUACCAUGUAGUUCUCUACUAGGCAGUUUUACAGUAGGGAAAUACAGGGAAUAUUACAGAAAUAAAGUAUGGCAACAUAUCUUAGGGAUAGACUGUCAUGAAACAGCAGGCUUGCUUCAUUCUCGUUCCCUCUGUUCUGUUCCCAACUGUUGCGAUCCACAACAGCAAAGAGCCUAUGAUUACAACAUUAAGCAGUAUUCUGAGUAAUCAGAAAGUUGCAGUGCUCCUUGCCUCAGUUCCUACACGUUUACAGAGUAUAUUUGAAAACAGAAUCAAGCCCGUGGCUUGCAGAACAACAUAGUGAAGAACAAAAUGCGCUUUAAUUAGUUAUUCAAAGCAGCAUCCCUGGACUGCUUGUAGCAAAAAAGUAUGAAUUGCCAAUGCUAGCUCCCCCUUAUCUGUCUGUCCAGAAGCUGAUCAUGCUACAAUGAAAGAGCCUGCUUAUUAAACAACACAGUAAAUGUCACACAUUAUAAUGAUCUUGUACACAUCACUCGGAUUAGCCACAGAGCAGUCUUUAAUAGUGGUUAAACCACAUUCUGCAUUUUUAUAUAUAUGUGGCAAACGUAUGUAUUUUGGUUUUUUUACAAUUAAAAGACUAACUAGUAGGUAGCAUGUUACGUUUAUAUAUUCCUAAUUGCUGCUCGAUCCUCUUCCAGUAACAUAAAUGGAUUUGAACCUGACUCACUGCAGCUCUCCUUGUUCAUUAGCGUCACAGCAGUGCUGCCACUGUUGUCACAGCCUCUUCCAAGAUGUAUGGCUUCAGGAGUGUAGUGGGGAGUGGGAAAUGGUUCAAGUCUUACCCUUUCAUCCUGAUUGCCAGCAGUUAUUUUCUGGUCCCAGGGGCAGGAAGGUGAAGAAUAGACACAAGAACUCUCGUAAACACAUUUCUUCUCUUUUAUUUUACGCUCUGCACUGACUAGAGCCUGGCUGGACCUGUGAAUUGUUCCAGAUCCCUACAGCUAUAAGUCAAAGCAGCAAUCAGAAUACCCUAGGAUAAUAUUUUCUUACACUGUCAUUACAAAGUAGUAAUUCUAUCAUUACAGCAGUUCCUGUCAUAUUGUCGUUAUGCCUUUUUUUCAAUGAAAAAUUACCAUGACUGUCUCAGGGGAUGCGCCAAGCUGGAAUCAUGGAAGCAGAGAUACGAGGCUUGAGGUUUCUGCUUAGUAAUUAGAACUGAAUUUAGUAAUUUAGUAAUUUAGUAAUUUAGUAAUUUAGUCUGAAUAGCAUUUGCAGGAUCAGAAUUAAAACGAUCUGAAUGUUAGAAGUAACAUUUCUUACCUUAACAGCACAAUUCAAAUGAAACGUGACAUAGUUCCAAACAGAAACACCAGGGAGAGUGAAAAGGGAAUUUAAUUCUGGAGUAAGGGGAGGAGGAGUUAUAACAGAAAGAGAAGGGCCACUGAUCCAUUAAUAAAUCCAUGAAGGUACGAUAAGUUGUCCAUGCAUAUGAGUAGUGGUUAGAAGUAUACCCCUCCUUGUCCAGAAAAUACUUGAGCCCAUCCCUAUUUAUGAUAGUUCCCAAGCUGCUACUUAAUUUCACAAAUAAGCUUAGCAAUGUGAUUAACUCAGCCCUUCUUAAUUUCUCCUUUCUUAAUGGCUUAAGCUAUAAUACUUGAGAAAAACAGAUUUGGAAGAUGUUAAGGCAGGAAAGGCAAAAGAAAUAGAGGAAUAGCAUGAGAAAGCGAAAAGAAGACAAACAUAUUCCAAGUGGAAUCACAAGUAUUUCAGUAGCUGAGGGAGGUGGCAGCAAGAAGAAACAGGACAACAUGGAAAGAGAACUGAAACUCAAGUGCUCAAGAGAAUUGAAACUGAAACUCAAGGCUGUGAAUGGAAGAAGGACACUGGGGAAAUGCAUGAACACUGGCAAGCCGGCACUACAGUAGAGGCUACUAUAGAAUUCAACUUAGCCAGGGCAGCUAUCCUUGAGGUUUUUUUAAAUCUAAUUUUCUUUGAAAAAAGGAUAACUUGCAUAGGUCUGUAAUAGCUGUCAGGCCCACACCCAUGCUCAUUUAGUAUGAGCACAGUACAGAGCCUUAGAGGGAAAAGAAUGUCUGUAAUCUCAAAGGCAAAAGCCAGAUGAACUCUGAUGCAACACAGAGCAGGCAGAGUAGCAGGCAGAAUGGUGCUGCCGGCUUAGGAGUCCUGUACCCCCGCUCUGGGAAGUGGCACUUGUUAGAGUACAGCAGCGGUCUGGUCUCACACCCCACAUCAAGGGCCAGAAAUGCACCAUGCAGAGCAAGACACUGUGCUCAAGAGUCACCGUUGCCACAAGUGGUUUCGCAGUAACAGGACUAGUGACUUUUCUGAGUCCUCCUCCACCCGCUCAGUUUUCAUCUCUGCAGUAUAACCCCUGCUCAAAUUAUCAAUGCUUUGGAGCCUCCUGAGUGCACAGAACCUUCAUCACUGUUCUACCAGUGUGGUCGUUAUUGAUAGAUCCAUCCAUAAACCUGGUUGCUGCAGCCUGCUGGCUCAGCUUUAUGCCUAGCUGUGACCAUCUCAGUUUGGAUGGAUGAACUGUAGAGAAAACCAAGACACACGCAGGUCAAGGAGCCCCCAUUUCUUGUACUCUGUGUAUCACCACACUAUGUACAGGAAGCCACAAUGUGUCUUGAGUAUAGCAGCCUCCCUCACUAAGUUCUUACAAAGAUGUCAUUGGCAUUUUUGGGGGGUUUGUUCAUCAGGUCUAGAACUUUUCCAGCAAUGCAUUUAGAAGAGAGAAAUCCAUAAGAGAAAUAAAAAGCACAGCACUGGGAUGCUGGACUGAAUGCUGAAACUAAAGGAGGAACUGAUAAAGUAACCCUCAACGCUAUCCACCUACAUUUCUUUCAUUUUUUUUAAAUUAUCUUAUUUUUUCAAUAUUGACUUCUGACCAAGGUAAAGAUUUCUCAUUAGUUUCAGCAACAUGUAAAACCAGUUUCUUACUCUCUGUUAGUUUGUUCCUCAACAACUACUAAGCAUCUGCUAAACCUAGUUUAUAAGCAUGUGAAUAAGGUUAAUCGGUGGCCCAUUUAAAAAUCAGGUAGGGAGGAUAUAGCAUGUUUUAUAUAUAUUUUAGAACAUAUAUAUAUUUCAUAUAGAGCAGUAUAUAGUUAUAUUUCAUAUAUAUCAGGAUAUAUAUAUUUUUUUCCAUGUUGAUACUGUUCCCCAGCUACUGUCUCUGCUAUUAGUGUUUUCACAUUUACAAAAAGCUGUAAUAAAUGCUCAGUGAGGAUCUUCACAUGGAUUACUACAGGGUAGAAGAUAUGUAAACAGAGAAACAAUAAGCUUCCUUUCCUCCUUUCUUCCCUUUCCCAGACUGUAGGAACAUCAACUGCCUCAUUGUACAAUGUUUGCUAAUGUGUUUUAUUCACUGUCAGUAGUAUGGACUAUUGUCAAGUCUCUCAGCCAGACUCCCAAGUCAUAAGGGAAUCAUUUCAGGCAAUGUCACACAAAUGUCACACAAAAAACAACCUGGAAGAAAAGAUAAGAGUCCCUGAUAAAGCUUUGGAGCAAUUUUGCUGACUCAUGAUUUGUCAUUUAUCUUAUGAUAGCUGGCAUUUUUUUGAGUAUCUUACCUUUCACGAAACAGGAGGUCAUUACCUUUCACGAAACAGGGGUUCAUUACCUUUUAGCCCUGAGACCUAGAAGAAUAAAGUCUUGAAAACAUGACAACUUGAAAUUAGCUAAAAAUAAAACCUGACAAAUCAAUAGGUUGUUAUUCUCCUAUUCUUAUUGCUUUGAUGUGUUUUGAAUGUUUGAGCUGGUUUGUUCUUUCUUUGGGCUUCUUUUUCAGCAGGAGUGGAACAAGCUUAUAUUUGAAAACUAAAGAUAUGUUUAAGAAAUUAUGUUUUUUCAAUAUGCAUUCAUGGAAUGAAGAGAGGCAUUUUUAGGACUGGUAAAACAGAAGAUGACUCAUAGUCCUAAUUAUGUUAAAGUCCUGUGCAGGAAUAAACAUACAAUUUUAAGCACAGUUUAAACAAUUUAAACAUAGUUUUGGAUUCAAAGUUACUGAAAAAUAAGUUAAGUGUAGGUAGAGGGUGUGUUUCCAGGAUUAACUUCAUUAGGAAAGACUAUUUCUAAAGUCGAAGUUGUUGGUUAUUCAUUUGCAAAGGUCACUAUCUAUCCCAGGCCUCUUUGGCAAGCUUGCUAAUAAAGGUGCUAUUACGAAACACAGUUGCAAAUUUCAGCUCACCGUUCAAGGGAAGAGAGACAGAGGCCACAGUCUUUCUUUUAUAUAACCGUCAAAGGUGAAUUAUUACUAUUUUCAGCUGGAUGCAGCUCAGAAAAUUGUGAAAGAUGGAAACAUUACCAAGCUCCUAAGACAGGCAUCUUAUUUCAACCUGUGGGCAAAUGGAGCGCAUUGUUUACCUGCACAGAAUUCCAGCCUGUAGUUGACAUGGCAGUCUGUAUCCGUUUGCUUUUCUCCAUGUAAAAUAAUAAACAAAAGUUAUCAAGAGAAUUUAAGGAGAGUAUAGGGUACAGUAGCACUGGGAUAUUUUUAUCGUUUGGAUUGUCUGGCCAACAGUUUCCCUACAAGAUGGAAAUUCUCAGUGGGAUUCUACUAUCACAGAGCCCAGCCUGCACUGAUUCGACUUAUGCUGAGAUCAAGCUGGUGUAAAUUGUAGGGUACCAGGAUACACCAUGGGCAGAACUGAAAUUUUCACAGAAAGCUACUCUCUGAUCUAGAUGACAAUUCAGUUUCGGGAAGGAAAGCAGUGAGAUUUCCAAUGCCAUUCAGCUUUGGUCUUUGUAAUAUUCCAGUAAGGACAGUGGUGAAAUGCUGGUGACUCCAAGGAAUUACAGGUAAACCAUUACUGUGUGCUUUCACAGUGAGCAACACACAAACUCAUGCAUGUGGGCAAUCUCCACACACAGCUCAGCUAACGCCUGGGUUUUGCUGCGUGGGAGGUCCUACUUAAAUAAGACCGUUAGGCAGAUGACCAUUUAAGCACGUGCCCAAAACAGUCUCUUGUGUAGUUAGCAGUGAAGUAUAUCCUUAAGCGUAAGGCAGUGAAACUUAAACACCUACGCAAAGAAGAAAAGACUUAGGCCACCUUAAACAUCUGAUGAAAAUUAAUUGAAAUCUGUUCUGAAAUAAGGGCUCACAGGAGGAAUGUGGGUGUGGCUCAGGCAGGCAAGAGCCAAAAGCACCAGGCCUGCCUGAUAUUAUUAGUCAUGUACAUGUUAAUUAUGUAUGCAACGAGCACCCAGGAAUCAAACCCUCCUGAGAGGUUUAUUGGCUAGAUAAUUUCAUAACCUCUACACUUGGGCCAGGAGGGGGAGAAGAGCAACCUGCUGAUCAAACCUUAAGGAACCGUUGUGUGCACUGGAUAUUCUUCAGAGCAAAACUCUUGCCAGUACGGACUCAAAUGUACUGCGGGAAGAAGCACUACAUCCUGACCUUUAAAACGUGCAGUCAUAGUCACAAAGACCAAGAGAUGCCAGCAUAAUCUGCAAAAGAGUCAUGAGUCACUUGUGAGAUUUGUGCUGCAGAAGGAACACAUUAUCCCUUCACUCUGCUGGUAGUGCCAGUCUCUUUCUGUCUUAAAUGAUCCAUCUGCUGCUGCCCAAAUUAGACACACAGCUCUCCCCAUCACAGUUCAAAGCAGUCGCUGUCAGUGCUCAGAGUGUGGCAUUCUGCGUGGCUUGAACCUUGCUUAGCAUCUUACCUACAGCCAAGGAAACCCCCUCCUGCCAAGUGGUGGCUUAUGUCCCAUUGACACCCUCAAAAGAGUAACUGUUGAUGUGACUGCCAGAGCCAAUUGGUCAAUGCUGUGACCCUGCAGGUCUUUGCUAGCAAGCCCUGCUUAAGGACAAAAGGAGAGAUCUUCCUCCAGUGGAAGUUGCUGUCAUAAGCCUAUGGAUGAGAUGGGAGGUCUGGUGGAAAAAUGAACACCUCAGCUGCAUAGCUCACGGUGUUCGAGGUGUAAGGUGGUCAGCAGCUACUGCUCAUUUGACUGCUCAUUUGUCUUCUGCUCCAUGCACUUUUUUUGGCUCAGGGCACCCAGUGUUGCUGUUCAAAAAAAGCUGAAGCUUUGGCUCACCUCGUUACAUCAUUGCCGUUUGUUUGAAUCCAGUGCAUGCAUGAACCUGAAAUAGUGCAGUUGUUACACACUGCCAUUUAAUUAUUUUGAAGUAGGUUGUGAAAAAAUGUAAAUCCAAAGAAGCAACCUUCACUUCCCUCGUGCUCUCUCCCACAAUAUAUGUAUGUGUAUUGAGGUGCCUAUAGUUCUAAUUACCUUUCUUUUCUUUGAAAGCUUUCCUAUUUGCUCUUUGGGAUGUCCAGUGUUUGGUUCAGUUGUGGAUCCGUGCUUGUAAAUCAGGAGUUCUUCAUUUGGCAAUCUCUCAGGAAUAAAACCAAGACUUAGAAAUCUCCUGAUGGGUAGGUAUUUUAUACUUGAGGUUUUUCUGGUUUCCACUUCUGAAGAAUGAAUAGGCUGCCUUGAAAUAAUGACAUUUGUGGAAGCUCGUUAAGUCUGAUGUGUAUUUAUUAGGACUUCAUGGCAUAUAAGUGGGAAGGCUUACAGUCUGGCGUGUAUGAGGAAAAGCAUCACAAAAUUUAUUCUGGAAAAAAAGAAGUAAGUCAACAAAUCAGUCAAUUUUUCUUUACAGGGAAAAAAAAAAAAGAAACCUAAAUAAGCUCUUUUUUCUACUGAAAUCAAUGGCCCAGUUCAGUGGUUUUUAAAGGAACAAGAAAUCUAAUUUGGUCUUUAGUGUCAAAAUCUCAAAUCCUGAUCAAACCCAGAGUAAGGGACCUUUGUACAGAAAAUACCUAAAGCAUUUCUGGGCACUGAACACCAGCACAGAUCCUUGGAGCUACUAGUGCAGCCCAUGGGAGAGCAGCACUGCCCUCAGCCAAUCUCCAGCCUCACCCCUGGAGCUUCCCAAACUCCUGCAGAAAGGCCCUUCUCUGCUUGUGUGGUUUGGUUAUUUUGAUGGUAGGGCCUGGUGUCAGGACCAGCUGUUUCUUUUGCAGAAGAAAGAAGAGUAAUUUCUAUGUGGAGGGUGCAGGGCAUCUUCCCUACCUCAGUGGGCGCUUGCCUCAUUCCCACUCCAGUUCAGCAAGGGCACUCCUGCAUAUUCUUAGCCUGAACUUACAUGUAAAAGUGAUGAUGCUUUUGUUUUGUUUAGCAGAGAAAGAUGUCUCAUGUGGUUGAAGACCAAAGUCUUAUUCAUUUCUUUCAUCCUCAGUUGCAGGCUGUAAUUGAAGAAAUCUGGAAAGUAUUACAGACUCUGAAGAACUAAAAAGCUUCACUGAAAAAAAAGUGUUCCUCCAGCUCCAGCCACCCCUUCUGCUUUUGCAAUGUUAGCCAAACAAGUUUGCUGUGUCUUUCCCACGGAGGUCCCAGUAUUGCCUGCUGCGAGGGAAGACAUUAUCUGUAGAAGUCAGGCUACCUCAAGAACAGCAUGGAUGGAGCCUGGGAUUCUUCCAAGAAGGGCACAGAAGAUGCUUCCAGAGCUGGCUGGCUCAGGACCAACACGAACUACUGUGUUUGCCUUAGGUCCCCAUUCAAGAACUUCAUUUUCUUCUGUACUACACUUGAAUCAUCCGUUUUGGGGAUAAACUGAUUUGGCCAUGAAGGACCCUUCCUCUAUAUUUGUGCAGUGGCCAAGGCAUUGA